rnacentral:rRNA from 1 species
AGUGAACGCUGGCGGUAGGCCUAACACAUGCAAGUCGAACGGCAGCACAGUAAGAGCUUGCUCUUACGGGUGGCGAGUGGCGGACGGGUGAGGAAUACAUCGGAAUCUACUUUUUCGUGGGGGAUAACGUAGGGAAACUUACGCUAAUACCGCAUACGACCUACGGGUGAAAGCAGGGGAUCUUCGGACCUUGCGCGAUUGAAUGAGCCGAUGUCGGAUUAGCUAGUUGGCGGGGUAAAGGCCCACCAAGGCGACGAUCCGUAGCUGGUCUGAGAGGAUGAUCAGCCACACUGGAACUGAGCCACGGUCCAGACGCCUACGGGAGGCAGCAGUGGGGAAUAUUGGACAAUGGGCGCAAGCCUGAUCCAGCCAUACCGCGUGGGUGAAGAAGGCCUUCGGGUUGUAAAGCCCUUUUGUUGGGAAAGAAAAGCAGCAGGUUAAUACCCCGCUGUUCUGACGGUACCCAAAGAAUAAGCACCGGCUAACUUCGUG